rnacentral:lncRNA from 1 species
AAUUUGUCAUGGUAAAUGAUCUUAAAGAUUAAAAAAAAAUUACUAAAAAUUCAUCAGUUUCUUCAGAUACGCCCUUGCAACCAUUCCCAUAAACAAAAAAAAACUAUAUGCCUUUCAUAGGAUAGACUCAGAGUUUGUGUUUUCAUCUAGUUUAUACACUAGCACAUUGUUUUAUGUUAAUUUAUGUGAUGUCUAACAUUUUGAAUUUUGCCAAUAUACAAAAAAACAAUUCUCUUUAGCCUUUGUUAACAAGUUGCUCGUCAAAAUCUGUAUGUGCGUAUGACCAUGGAGGCAAGUUUUUUUCUUUCUUCUUCAUUUUUUUUAAUACAUGCUUUUAUAUUUUCUACGGCUAAUUAAUGUGGAGUGCUGUGCAUACAUCUGAAAGGUAGCACCUUCACCUCUCAGGCUUUCAUCGCAGACAUCUGAUAAUAAUUACUGCAUAAAUAAAUUCGUAACGCCAAGCAGUUAGAAGCAGUCUAAUUGCAACAAUUAAUUUGUAGACUUACCUAAUUAAAUUUCCCUAGCCGGAAAUGUGUUGUCUGCAUACAUCAAAGUUUACAAAGGAGAGGUAACAGAGCAGAAUAAAAAAUGACAGCAUCCCUAAUAGAGUCCCUCGAGAGGAACUUCUAAGGUUAAAAAAAAAAAUCUAUCAAUGCUGAACAAGAAAAUACGCCGUUCGGCUGAAAUGAUGGAUGAUUCUGCUAACCUUCAUGCAAAAUGAUCCUGACACAUAUUAUUAUCAAAAUAGAAGCGAGCAUAUCGUUGUCUACCUUAUUGCUUUUAUAAAGUGGAUGAAAUGGUUUGGGAGUCUGAAAACUCUUUUCUAUGUGGUACUUGGGAACAUUAAGACGAGCCUGAUCUCUUUCUUCCUCUUAUUCAUUUAAAAUAGUUUUAAGGUGAAGCAGGACGUGGUCCAGUGAUCUACACUGCCUCGCCUCACCUGGUCUCAACAUCUGUGUUCUGGGUUCAUUACCUCCAGUCUUGCCGCAGACAGGAACUUCUGCAAUGGAUUUUUUUCCGCAUCAUGAGCCCUAUUUGAAGUUUCAGUGCAGCAAGUCUAGCCACGGCAGUAACGCAGGGA